rnacentral:rRNA from 1 species
CUACGUAGCUCAGAGUUUGAUCCUGGCUCAGGACGAACGCUGGCGGCGUGCUUAACACAUGCAAGUCGAGCGGAAAGGCCACUUCGGUGGUACUCGAGCGGCGAACGGGUGAGUAACACGUGAGUAAUCUGCCCUUGGCUUCGGGAUAGCCACCGGAAGCGGUGAUUAAUACCGGAUAUGACCACUUCGUGCAUGCGAUGGUGGUGGAAAGUUUUUCGGCCAGGGAUGUGCUCGCGGCCUAUCAGCUUGAUGGUGAGGUAAUGGCUCACCAUGGCUUCGACGGGUAGCCGGCCUGAGAGGGUGACCGGUCACACUGGGACUGAGACACGGCCCGG